CGCGUAGGCGGCCGAGUAAGUCGGAGGUGAAAUCCCUCGGCUCAACCGAGGAACUGCCUCUGAUACUGCCUGGCUUGAGUCCCGGAGAGGGUAGCGGAAUUCCCAGUGUAGCGGUGAAAUGCGUAGAUAUUGGGAGGAACAUCGGUGGCGAAGGCGGCUACCUGGACGGGUACUGACGCUGAAGCGCGAAAGCGUGGGUAGCAAACA
rnacentral:rRNA from 1 species